rnacentral:lncRNA from 1 species
AGCAGCCCCUGGAGGGCGGGCGGCCGCUGCGCCGGGCGACCCAGGUGCCGCAGCGCCGGGGCUGUGCGCCCUGGCCCCGGCCUCCGGACCCCGCUCACCGCCGUGGCGCGCCCCCGGGAUUCCGUCCCCCACACGGGGAGCGCUCCCUAAAGGGGGGUCUCCGCGUUUCUGAGCUGCGUCAGGGCCCGCGUACUGCCGCCUCCCCCGGGGUACACUAGCCUAGGUUCUGGAGGGUGAAGUCAGCCCCGCUGAGUGAGAAGAGGCUUGAAUCAUCAGUUACCUGGUCGUCUUGGGGCUGCUGUAGUAUGCAGUGAGAUACGGUUGUUUAUGUAAAGAACUUAGCUCAAGGCCCGGCACGCUCCAGACAGGUGAGCUGCCAUCACCCUCGACUGCCGCGGCUGCUCCCACCACCACUACUUCAUCAUCAUCACGGAGUCUUGGUUGCCUUGCUAGUGAAGCCAAGGAGUUCAGGGGUUGCUGUAGACGAUCUCCAUGUUUCCUCGCAGCUGCAACUUUCCAACGUCUACCUCAACACUGAUCACUCUACUCAAAUCUAGGGGGUACCUGCUGGAGUUUAUUGAAUCAGCUGGGGCAGGCCCUUUAGGGAGAAAAAGAGAAUGCUGCUUGCUCAGCCACAAUGAUUGCAUUGAUAUAGCCUGCCACCGGCACAAAAAAAUAUAGCCCAAGAAGUCAAGGAAUCAGAAGAGAGAAACAUUCUUUUUAAACACAUAUUUAAAAUUUGUCAUCCACGAACAGUAAUCUGAGAGAAUGAGCAAUCUCCGAAAAGAGGCUAAAAUCUUCUGAAGACUGAAGAUCUCAGAGCAUUGCAAGUUGAAGCGAGGGGCCUACCUGGCACAAACAUUCACUUAUUAUUCCAACCCUUACCUCCUGAGCAUUCCAGGGCUGACAGCCUGGGGGCCAGCAGGGUGGAUGGCAGUCCUGGUCCAGCCUUUCCAGGCCCUGAGGGUGGCAAAC